AAAAAAUCCCAGAUCUUCAACCAAACAUCAUCAUCUUCAUCUCUUUCCUUCCUCUCCACUUUCUCAAAACACUAACCCCAACUUCCCAUUUUCACCUCCCAGAUCUUCAACCAAACAUCAUCAUCUUUGUCUCCAUUUUCACCCCACAUAACACACACUUCGUGUGUAGUUACCAGAGAGAUUGAGAGAGAGAGAGAGAGAGAGAGAUGAAACUAGUGGUUUGAAGAUGUUUUUGAAGAUCUGGGUAACAAGAUCAUCAUUUCAACCAUCAUCAUCAUCCCCAUAUCUUCAAUUAAAUCUAACCCAGAUCUUUAACGAACAUCAUCAUCUUCAACCAUCAUCAUCAUCCCCACAUAAACUUCAAACACAAAAUCUAACCAAGAUCAUCAUCAUCAUCAUCCCCACAUAAACAACAUCCAAACACCCCCUAAAUUCCUAACACAAAAUUGUCAAAAAAAAUAUAACAAAAUACAAACCUGAAGAUGAAAAUCCACAUAACAAAAUACAAAUCUUAGAAAAUAAAGUCUAAUAUCCCAAGGAAGAUAGUUAAACACAUAUAUUAAUUUUGUCGUAUUUCAGAUCUAUGAUGGCAAAGCAGGGAUUGAAAUCCCUUUUUCCAAUGGAAGAUAUUGCUGUGAUGGGGAUCUGGGAGUUGUUGCCGUAUCUAAAAGAGUUGCGGAUGAUGAUGAUUGAAGAGGGUAGAUGAUGCAGAAGUGAUGAAGAAAUCUGCAAAUGUGGGUUAAAAAGAAAUUAUGAUGAAGGGGGAGGUGAAAUUACCAUAUUACCCAUCAUGUGCAACCCAUGUGACCAAGAAGUUAACCAGAGUUUGGGUUUGGUGUUGUUGACAAUUCCGGUGGUAACCGUGUUGGCAGAAAGAAGUUUCUCAAAGUUGAAGUUGUUGAAGACCUAUUUACGUUCCACAAUGUCACAAGAAAGGCUAAACAGGUAGGCAACAAUUUCUAUUGAAAGUGAAAUAUUAGAUACUAUGGAUUACAAGAAGUUGAUCGAGAGCUUUGCUUCAAAAAACGCUAAAAGAACCACACUGUUUGCUUAGCAAGUUGGUCCAUUUGAUCAUUUUUGCUACCCUAUUUUUGUUAAUUUGUUUUUAUCUAUUUCAUAACAA